rnacentral:lncRNA from 1 species
CAAUACAUAUGUAGUCGUUUACUGUCCUCGCUACACAACGAACUAUUAUUUACUAGUUCACUAUAAUAAAUUUCCGCAUGAAGUACUCUCUUCUUAUUUACAACACACUUCGAUAUUUAGUUUUCUCAUGCAUAAAAGUAGUAUUAAUGUGUAUAAACUAUACGUGUAGAAUACAUUUAAAAUUAUCUGCAUUCCGAUUGCAUUUAGUUCACUUUCUUACAACUUUUAUAGCUUAUCAACAUUUACCGUACAAUAAUGUUUAGUUCACAUGAACAAAAAAUUUAUAAUUAUGUUUCUUUUUCAAAAUAAGAAUAUAUAUAAUUUGUGUUACGUGUUCAAUAAACAAAAUGGUUAUUUUAGAGACUAAGGACAAAACAGAGAGAAGAAUAAUAAUGAAGAGGUAUACUAUCAUGUGAUGCAACCCUCUAAUAAUGACUUAUUUACAUCAUAUAUUAGAUGGAACGGAGUACCUAUAAGAGUGGAUUAAAGAGGAUGAAAGAGGAGAAACUAAAAUAUUUAGGCGUGAAGUUGUUUGAAAUACACGGGAGGAGAGGUGCUGAUGUGAUGACUCGAAAAUAUAUAGAUUGGUACGAAUUUAUGAAGUUGUAUAUUUAACUAAAUUAUAUAAUGAGUACUUCAAUAAAUUAUACAUAUAAACAUUAUAAU